AAAGCUAGUAUAAUUGAAACAUAAAAUCUGAAGUUAAAACUUAUAUGGCCUUUGAUGUGUAAUUGUGAUUUCACCUUUCUCCAGAUGUUGCUUUUUCAACACUUCAAUUUCAAUGAUGGAGGUCCAAGUCACCUUCAAAGUUGUCUGGUAAAAACUUACAAAGGAGAAACUUAAAAUACUUUAAGGUCAUGACAAACCAGUGUGAAAGAGAAUCCUAACACCUAGAAGUGAAACUGCAUCAUCCACCCAGCCUGGAAAGAAAAAAGAAAGCUAAAAACCACUACAGAAUAAGAAUGCAGAGUUUGAGAAAACCCCUAAGGUGAAUUCUGAACAACAACAACAACAAAAAAAAGAGCCCCCAACAUAAGAAGUGCAUACUGUAUGCAAGAACCACUAAUGGAAAGAGUUUGCCAGCACUUAUGUCAUUACCUCACCAAAGAUGGCUGAUCCCAUGUAAAGAAUGGGCCUUUCAACAAUCCAGGAACGUAACUGUUCACUCCAGACCUCAAGUUAUUUCAUCCUUUUUCACAUGCUUGUCAGCUGUAGCAUCUCAUCAAGUCUUGUCAGAAGCCUUCUUUAAAAAUUCUCAGGAAGAAAAACAAUGGAGAUGUGGUGUGAAACGGGGACGAUGAGUCUGGAAGCACACAAGGCUUGGAGGCUAAGCACUAAUGUAUUCAGAGCCCACAUGGCAGCAUGGUGAGAUGAACAUAACAAGGACCUUGACCUUGGUGACAGUCUGCAGGAGUUCUGCCACUUCAGCGCUAUAACUUGGAGCAAAUCCUUCCAUCAGUGUAAAUGUCACCUUUCCCCCACCCCCAUCUAAAGAAUGCACGUAUCACCACUUCUUUGGACAAGAAUGAGCAUUAAAGACAAUAUAUGUUGAGUGUCUAGUAUAUACAUCCUAUACAUGCUCUUUCCCAUUGCUUUGCAACAUCAUCACUUCCUUUUUCUCAUACCUAUCCAUAGUCUCAGCUAAAUAUUAAAUGACCAAAGCUGCUUUCUGUUCCCACUAAAUGGGCCUGAUAUACCAUGGGAUCCUAAAUCUCACAUCUUAACAUGAAACACUGGGUCAUAUGGAGCCAUUUUUUCAAAUUGUAUCUCUAACAUCCAAAUUGUGUUUUAACUAUCAGUCUGAACUAACUUCACACAGAAAGAAAACUAUCAUAGCUCAUGACUUCCAGAUAAUUAUUCUCAUAUUCAUGAUCAAUGUUGAAUUCAAAUCUGACUUCAAAAUAUUCUUCAUGGAAAGAGGUUUUAUCUUGUGUAAGAUCAUGUGUUUCCCUAGUUUAUGAAGUGCCUUCACCUACAUCCACAUUUACACCUUCCAACCCUGGUCAGAUUAUUCUCCCUGACAUCUGCAUGCUCCCAAAGUAUACUAUCUUUCAUUUAACAUUCAAAUGCCUAUUUUAGACCAGAUCUCACAUAACUGUUGGGACCCAGCCCUCUCCUUAAUGAUUUCAAGGAUUCUAGGGAGGGUGCUAAAAAGUGCCCAAUGAUUCCUUGUUACUUUUGAUCCUAAACCCCAACUGCAACCUAAUUCUCAUCAUCUCCCUUCUAUUUCACUUCACCCCUACUGCUGAUGCAGCCCUCUCUAUUCAGCCUCCAAAACACAUGAACAUCUGGGUGUCAUGCGAGCACAUCUUUACCAGAGAAAGAUUCUAAUGGCGAAUAGGAAACUACUUAAAAUAGACAAUCAGACAUCAAAGCUCACGCCCCCUUCCUUCUCGCCACUGGAGGAGCAACUUCUCAGGUCUACCCUACUGCUAGGGCCCACUCUCUCACCACUCCUGCCCAAACAAAAGCAAAAUAAAAAAAUUUCCCUCCAGCCUCAAUUAAAAACAAAAAGUUCUUAUUUCUUUAUGCAGAGCAAUUUUAGUCCCCAGGUCCUAACCACUCCUAUCUCAAUUAGCCCUUUACCUUGACCAAACCGAAAAAAAAAAAAAAAAAAAACA